rnacentral:misc_RNA from 1 species
GAUGAAGAACGUAGCGAAAUGCGAUAAGUAAUGUGAAUUGCAGAAUUCAGUGAAUCAUCGAAUCUUUGAACGCACAUUGCGCCCCCUGGUAUUCCGGGGGGCAUGCCUGUCCGAGCGUCAUUGCUGCCCUCAAGCACGGCUUGUGUGUUGGGCCCCGUCCCCUCCCCCGGGGACGGGCCCGAAAGGCAGCGGCGGCACCGCGUCCGAUCCUCGAGCGUAUGGGGCUUUGUCACCCGCUCUGUAGGCCCGGCCGGCGCCAGCCGACACCCAACUUUUAUUUCUAAGGUUGACCUCGGAUCAGGUAGGGAUACCCGCUGAACUUAAGCAUAUCAAUAAGCGGAGGA